GGGGAAUAUUGCGCAAUGGGGGAAACCCUGACGCAGCAACGCCGCGUGGAGGAAGAAGGUCUUCGGAUUGUAAACUCCUGUCUUCUGGGACGAAAAAAAUGACGGUACCAGAGGAGGAAGCCACGGCUAACUACGUGACAGCAGCCGCGGUAAUACGUAGGUGGCAAGCGUUGUCCGGAAUUAUUGGGCGUAAAGGGCGCGUAGGCGGCAACCUAAGUCAGAUGUGAAACCCCGGGGCUUAACUCCGGACGUGCAUUUGAAACUGGGUAGCUAGAGUGCAGGAGAGGAAAGCGGAAUUCCUAGUGUAGCGGUGAAAUGCGUAGAUAUUAGGAGGAACACCAGUGGCGAAGGCGGCCAACUGGGCUUUUACUGACGCUGAGGCUCGAAAGCGUGGGGAGCAAACA
rnacentral:rRNA from 1 species